AUGCUAAAUAUAAAAGACUCAAUCAUCACCUUCUUCCAAAAAAUUGAUCAGAGUCGUUCAAAAAAAAGUUAUCAAGCCAACAAAAACAAAAGUCGUGCAAACACCAAAAACCUAACCGAGUAUCAUUACUUUCCCAUGCACACAAACCCUUCAGAGAUCGCGAGAAAGAGAAGAAGAGGAAAAGUUUUUGUAGCAACAAAAAUCAGAAAGAUCUCACAUAUUUCUAUCAUCUGA